GUCUCUCUGUCGACUAACCGCCACCACCUCCUUCCUCCUAGAGGCAACACACGAACAAUGCAUCCACCGACCGGCGGGCCGACCACCAAGGGUUAUGCCACAUCAUUCUGGUGCGAUGUCAGGCUUGUUGUUUGAUACGAGCAGCAAGUCAUGGGACAACAACGAAAGUACGGACGCCAGGCGUGGUAUGGAAGGAGCCAGCACAUGUGUUUGUUUCUCAAGAUUCACACUGAGCCAAUGCAAGCAAAGCCACCCUUGUUUGUCUCUGGGUGUUAAAGCAACAGCAACAUGGGCACAAUGCACCAGGAGUACCUGCCCUUGAGAAGGCUUGAAC